rnacentral:rRNA from 1 species
UAAUACAUGCAAGUCGAGGGGCAGCAGCAGUGUAGCAAUACAUGGGCGGCGACCGGCAAACGGGUGCGGAACACGUACACAACCUUCCUUUAAAUGGGGAAUAGCCCAGGGAAACUUGGAUUAAUACCCCGUAAUAUUAUAGAGUGGCAUCACUUUGUAAUUAUAGCUACGGCGUCUAAAGAUGGGUGUGCGGCUGAUUAGGUAGUUGGCGGGGUAACGGCCCACCAAGCCUUCGAUCAGUAACUGGUGUGAGAGCACGACCAGUCACACGGGCACUGAGACACGGGCCCGACUCCUACGGGAGGCAGCAGUAAGGAAUAUUGGGCAAUGGACGCAAGUCUGACCCAGCCAUGCCGCGUGGAGGAUGAAGGUCCUCUGGAUUGUAAACUUCUUUUCUCUGGGGCGAAAAACAGGUUUUCUAACUUGCUUGACAGUACCAGAGGAAUAAGCACCGGCUAACUCCGUGCCAGCAGCCGCGGUAAUACGGAGGGUGCAAGCGUUAUCCGGAUUCACUGGGUUUAAAGGGUGCGUAGGUGGGUUGGUAAGUCAGUGGUGAAAUCUCCGGGCUUAACCUGGAAACUGCCAUUGAUACUAUCAAUCUUGAAUACCUUGGAGGUGAGCGGAAUAUGUCAUGUAGCGGUGAAAUGCUUAGAUAUGACAUAGAACACCAAUUGCGAAGGCAGCUCACUACACGGUCAUUGACACUGAGGCACGAAAGCGUG